rnacentral:rRNA from 1 species
GACGAACGCUGGCGGCGUGCUUAACACAUGCAAGUCGAACGUAGUGGCGAACGGGUGAGUAACCCGUGAGCAACCUACCUUACACAGGGGGAUAGCCGUUGGAAUCGUCGAUUAAUACCGCAUGGUGUAAGAUGGGCUCGGGUCUGAUUGGCUAGUUGGAAGGGUAAAGGCCGAUCAAGGCGACGAUCAGUAGCCGGUAUGGGAGGAUGAACGGCCACAAUUGAACUGAGACACGGUCCAAACUCCUACGCGAGGGAGCAGUGGGGAAUGUUGCACAAUGGGGUAAACGCUGAUGCAGCGACGCCGCGGGAGCGAAGAAGGUUUUCGAAUCGUAAAGCUCGGUACGAUGAGAAGCGGUAUCAGAGGAAGAAGCCCCGGCUAAAUACGUGCCAGCCGCCGCGGUAAUAC